UGAGGAUUGACAGAUUGAGAGCUCUUUCUUGAUUUUGUGGGUGGUGGUGCAUGGCCGUUCUUAGUUGGUGGAGUGAUUUGUCUGCUUAAUUGCGAUAACGAACGUGACCUUAACCUGCUAAAUAGCCCGUAUUGCUUUGGCAGUACGCUGGCUUUUUAGAGGGACUAUCGCCUCAAGCCGAUGGAAGUUUGAGGCAAUAACAGGUCUGUGCUGCCCUUAGAUGUUCUGGGCCGCACGCGCGCUACACUGACGGAGCCAGCGAGUACUCCCUUGGCCGGAAGGCCCGGGUAAUCUCGUUAAACUCCGUCGUGCUGGGGAUAGAGCAUUGCAAUUAUUGCUCUUCAACGAGGAAUCCCUAGUAAGCGCAAGUCAUCAGCUUGCGUUGAUUACGUCCCUGCCCUUUGUACACACCGCCCGUCGCUACUACCGAUUGAAUGGCUCAGUGAGGCGUCCGGACUGGCCCAGAGAGGUAGGCAACUACCACUCAGGGCCGGAAAGCUCUCCAAACUCGGUCAUUUAGAGGAAGUAAAAGUCGUAACAAGGUCUCCGUUGGUGAACCAGCGGAGGGAUCAUUACCGAGUUAUCAACUCCCAAACCCCUGUGAACAUACCGAACGCUGCUUCGGCGGGACCGCCCCGGCGCCCUCGGCGUCCCGGAACCAGGCGCCCGCCGGAGGACCCAAACUC
rnacentral:rRNA from 1 species